rnacentral:tRNA from 1 species
CCGCCGGUAGCUCAAAUGAAUAGAGCAGUACUUUCGCAGGUAACGGUUUCGGGUUCGAUUCCCGACCGGCGGA